GACGAACGCUGGCGGCGUGCUUAACACAUGCAAGUCGAGCGGAAAGGCCCUUCGGGGUACUCGAGCGGCGAACGGGUGAGUAACACGUGAGUAACCUGCCCCAGACUUUGGGAUAACCCUCGGAAACGGGGGCUAAUACCGGAUACGACACAGCUUCGCAUGGGGUCUGUGUGGAAAGUUGUUCGGUUUGGGAUGGGCUCGCGGCCGAUCAGCUUGUUGGUGGGGUGAUGGCCUACCAAGGCGACGACGGGUAGCCGGCCUGAGAGGGCGACCGGCCACACUGGGACUGAGACACGGCCCAGACUCCUACGGGAGGCAGCAGUGGGGAAUAUUGCACAAUGGGCGGAAGCCUGAUGCAGCGACGCCGCGUGCGGGAUGACGGCCUUCGGGUUGUAAACCUCUUUCAGCAGGGACGAAGCGUAAGUGACGGUACCUGCAGAAGAAGCGCCGGCCAACUACGUG
rnacentral:rRNA from 1 species